ACUGAGGUGGCAGAGCCCGGCAAUUGCAAAAGACCUAAACCCUUUAUACCGGAGGUUCAAAUCCUCCCCUCAGUU
rnacentral:tRNA from 1 species